UACGUAGGGUGCGAGCGUUGUCCGGAAUUAUUGGGCGUAAAGAGCUCGUAGGCGGUUUGUCGCGUCGACUGUGAAAACCCGAGGCUUAACCUCGGGCCUGCAGUCGAUACGGGCAGACUAGAGUUCGGUAGGGGAGACUGGAAUUCCUGGUGUAGCGGUGAAAUGCGCAGAUAUCAGGAGGAACACCAGUGGCGAAGGCGGCUACCUGGACCGGUUCUGACGCUGAGGCGCGAAAGCGUGGGUAGCAAACAGG
rnacentral:rRNA from 1 species